CCAAAGGCUCUUUUAAGAGCCACCCAAGCUUUCAUUAAAAGAGUUGU
rfam:Danio rerio chromosome 25, GRCz11 reference primary assembly.